UACCUGGUUGACUCUGCCAGUAGCAUAUGCUUGUCUCAAAGAUUAAGCCAUGCAAGUCUAAGUACGCACGGUCGGUACAGUGAACUGCGAAU
rnacentral:ncRNA from 1 species